GGACAGGACACAGGGGAUGGCUUCCACUGCCAGAGGGUAGGGAUGGAUAAAUGGGAUAUUGGGCAGGAAUUUUUCCCUGGGAGGGUGAGGAGGUCCUGGAAUAGAAUUCCCAGAGAAGCUGUGACUGCUCCUGGAUCCCUGGAAGUGCCCAAAGCCAGGUUGGACAUUGGGAUUGGAACAGCCUGGGACAGUGGGGGUGUCCCUGCCCAUAGCAGGGGUGGCACUGGAUGGGAUUUAAGUUCUCUUCCAGCCCAAACCAUCCCAGAAUUCUAAAUCAGCUCUUUCUGUGUCAGGUCUGAGCUGUGCCCACUGCUGUGUUUCCUUCUUGGAUGACAGCUGGCUCUCCUGGAGAACAAUGCUGCCCUGGAUCAAAUGCUCCUUCCCCCCAGAAAUUCCCCUUGCUCAGGAGCAGCUGUGCUUGCUGGAGCCCUUGCAGAUUCAGUCCUUUACUGAGAUUUGCUUUUUGCCUUGUUCAGGAUGAGAAAGCUUCGGGGGCAGAUCCUAGAGCAGGGAAAUUCCAGAGCAGUGGCUGAGCUGCUGUCCCUGCCAGCAGUCUCCUCCUUGGAGAAGGCUUUGCAGGGUGCCUGGAUGGUUUGAAAAAUGGUUUCAAGAUGAACUCAGUCACUGUCAAACAGCUGAAAACCCAAGGCUGUGCUUGUUUUCAAGAAGCAUUAGCACUGUAGUUUUCACAGCAUUUUCUGAGCUCUCCCUAUUCUGAGCACUACCAGGAAGAAAUCUGUUCCUUCUCAGCUCCUGCUCCUUUCCCCCACUUUUCUCCUCUACGAAGUUUAUAAUUUGUCUCAUAGUUUGAUGCUAUGGAAAUUACUUUAACAUCACCUUUUAGUCAGAUGUUCCCCGAGGAGCCUGACUUACAAUACAAUUUAGUCAGAAACGAAUUUGUCUUUGUAACAAACUGCAAAUUACCAAGCUCAUGAAACACCACUUCUCAUAAAUGCCUCUUACAGCCUCGAAGAUUUGAGUCCUAGAGCAACAAUCAGGCUUCAACCCUUCCUUAUUUGUCCAUCUGUACAGGCUGCAGAGCAAAAAUUACAAAGGCAUUUGGGCUUUAAGUGGAAAGCUGUGCAUUUUGUACCUGUCGUGAUCAUACACAGAAGAACUGUGCAUUUCUGGGAGAAUAAGAAGUGUAUUUGCAAAAAUAGGUGCCAGGUUUGCUGCGCUGAGGGAAGUUUGCAGUAGCAUGGACAAAAUUCAGGCCAUUGAGGAGAAAUCCCCCCAGAGCUGUAUUUAUCAGAAAUGGGAAUGGUAUUAAUCAAGAAUGGUUUGAAGUGGUGCUUCCCCGACCUUCACCCUUUAUCCCAGCUCCAGAAGCUGUGUCCUACAUGGCAGGGCAGUGUUUCCCCUCGCUGGUUCCCUUCUUGGUCCCUUCUGGAACAGAGGAGCUCCCAUGCCUUGGAGUGUUGAUGCCACUGGACUCCUCCAGGACUGAGCAUCCAUUACCCAGUGCAUUGGCAGGUUCCUGUCCUUGCCCUGUGCCAAGUCACCCAACACAUCAAAAAUCCCUGGCAGGUCUCCAGGAACUCACUUCAGCAUGUGAGAAGCCUGGAAUUGAGGCACGAGCACAGGGCAACUCACAGGAUCCAACAUCUCCAGGUCUAAUUCCCACUGGAUGCUGUUCAUCAUGGGGAAAUUCCUUAAUGGCCUUGCUACCAGCCUGCAGGUGAAGUUUAAUAUCUUUUAAAAUUAUGUGCCUGCUUCUGUAUGAAUCAAUUUCUUGAAUUGCUUUGCAGUUGCAUGUAGUUCUUCCUUAAAUGCCUUUAUUCCAAGUGCAGCCAGAGGUAUUAAUGUACUCGUACUGGCGUGGAGAGAGUCUUGUUUACAAGGAUUGUUUUUCAGGAUUGCCCAAGGAGUUUCACAGAAUCACAGAACGGUUUGGGUUGGAAAAGACUUAAAUAUCACCUAAUUUCACCCCUCCCAUGGACAGGGACACCUUUCACCGGACCAGGUUGUUCCGAGCUCCAUCCAACCCAGCCCUGAGCUCUUCCUUUCCACUCUCAUCUUAAUUGUUCUGCUAAAAGCUUGAAAAUGAGUUUCCCCUACUAAUUUACCAUGAUUUAUUAAGAUGACUUUUUGUAUUGUGCCAAUAUUUUUUCACCUGUGUGUGUGUCACCCAUCAGAGUGAAUUAUUACAUCAGUUAGAGGGUGGCUGUGAUUUCAUCUGAUAAAUCACCUUGAAGGAAAGAGAAGAUGGAGUUUGGAAAAUAAGCUGGGUGAAAUUACACAGAAUUGAAGGUGGAAUUAAAAGAAAAAAAAACAUAUAUUAUUAUCACCACUGUAAAAGAUGGCUACAUUUAUACUACAGAUGAAAGAUGUCAUCUACUCCUUUCCUGGGAAAUGGGAUAUUUCAUGAGGUUAAAAUCUCUGUCUCCUCUGGACUGCAGUAUGUGAUCCAGGAAAGGUGUGUGGCAAACCCUGCUGGAUUUCUUUGAUUACAGGUUCAUUCCUUGUCUGCAUGCAGGUAUUGAUCCCUGCCAGCCCUGUGUUCCAGGAAUGCUGCAGAGAUCCAACCCCAGCCCCUCCAGAACAGGAUAUUUCCUCUGAUCCAUCAGCUCAUGGAGAGCUCAUCACAACACAACACAACAGUAAAUAUUGGUUUAGAGCCUGCUUGCUCACUUAUGUGCAGUGCAGACCAUGAUAUUCCCACCUCAGCCUCCUGCAUCAGCCCCUGGAUGAUCCCACAGGGAUUUUUAGGAUUUUUACUGGAUCUCUUCCUAAUGGGCAUCAGUGGCUGCACAGCUCCUGCCUGAUAUUCCCAGGUUGUUGGAGACCCUUGAUAAAUGCAGGUCUGCCAGUGCAGAUGUUCCAGCUUCUCUCUGCUAAUUCUGAUUUCCUUAUGAGUGUACGAACCAGAGACUUCAGACACAAAGGCUUUGCUGCCUCUCAGGCACCUGAUUAUAAAACAAAUAGGUUUUAAUGCAGACACAUCACAUGAGAAAGGCACAGACUGUGGGGAAGGAAAGGAGAGUGAUUGAUGAGCUGAGAUACACGAGCACAAGUGCUGCAAGCCACAAACCUCUCUGCAGCUCCCUUCUCCUUUUGUAAGGGAACGUGAAAGCCGGAGAAUAAAAUGUGCUGGAGUAGGAGCAGGAUACUGCUGGAAUAAAUGGGUGUUUAUGCAAUGAAUAAUAGUACAGCAGGACCCCGGCUGUUGACACAAAACAAAUAACAACUCUUUAUAGAGACUACCAAAAUGUGCUCAGUUGCAAAUGAGGAAAAUAAUAAGCAAGGCAGACCUUCUGCUGUGUGAGCUAUUUGUUCCUGAAUCCCAUUCUGAGGCAAAAACCUGAAGAUAAUUGGUGAUUUCUUCAUUAUGUUCACAGGUGUUGAGGAUCAGGGGCGUUCAGCAUCAGCUGUGCACCCAGAAGAUCGCUGGUCUCUUCCCAGAGAUCUGAAACCCCAUUCUUCUCUCUAUCCUAAUGAAGUUCAGAGGUGCCCCUUUAUCUCCCCUAAUAAUGAACUGAUGUUCCCACAAAUGGAGCAGGAAACUUGCAGCAGGGUCAGAGGCACAGCUGUGCUUGGAUCCUGAGCAGGUCGGUCUUGAAGCAGUAUCUGGAACCAUGGCUGCGAAGAUGAUAAAUACAUCUAGGGGAGAUAUGAACUUCCCUCUCACACUGCUUGUUCAGAUUACCUUGGGUGAGUUGCUCCUCAGCCUCUGGAUGCUGGCCACAGAGGACAAGUGGCUCUCAGGAGGCAGCCCUGGGCCACUAAAAGUUGUUGUGACAUAUAAAAACCUUCAGGUAAUAGAGACUUUAUUAAUUCCUCAGAUAAUUUCUUCUAGACUUCUCUCCUUAAAAUAAAUAAAUAAAAGGUUUUAAAAAGCUUCUUCUGGUGUCUAAGUAGAAUUUUCCUUCCUGCAGUUCGAGGUACCCAGAGUUUUCCUGGACACAGAUAAUGGGUAAUUCCCUCCUUGCAGUGCAGGAGGUACUUGGGGAUUGUUGACACAGCUUCCCUCAGUCCCCUCUGGACCAAAAAACCCACACAGAUCUCCCCUGUUUUCUCGUUGAUCCACAGAUUUUCUGGACCUCUUUCCAGCUUCACCUUUUUCCACUGUAAAUAUGAAUGUUUGUGUGUACAUAUUUAGUGUAAUAUUUAUGUUUAUCUAUUUAAAGAUAUCCUUAAGUCCUGUGUUUUGUGAAAGAACAGCAUUUUAAACAAUUCUGAUCUCUAACUUUGUCUCUGCUGGCAGGUGGUGCCUCCCAAAUCCAUGCCAUCAGAUCCUGUCCAUGACCCAGGUGGCACCUGGGGCCACCAGAGGGACCUGCCUGGCAUGAGGAUGCCGAGCUCCCCCUCCCCUUGGGGCUAAACCAAACCAUCCACAUCCUGACAGAGUUGAAUCUUGGGAACGAUGAGGAGAAUGCCUGUCUGGAGCCCAGAUUUAUGAAAUGCCCAGUGCUGCUCUGUUCUUUCUGACGGUGUCCUGGCCACUGCUCCCCUCCCAUCCCCUCUGCUGGCAGCCCACUAACAUCAUCAUUAUUACUGAUUUAUUUUUUUUUUUUGGAUGGAAAUAAUGCUGUCAUGUUCUUCUACCUUCUACCCUCCCUUUCUGGCAGGCAUGGAGCACAAUUGCCUUUCUCAAUUUCCUGCUCCUGGGCUGUUUUCCACGAUGCCUCUCUGGGAGCUGUUGGGGUUUGAGGUUCACUGCUCAGAUCUGCAAACUUCCCUGUUCUCCACGAUGAUCCAGCCCAUCCCAGGGACAGCCCUUACCCUCCUGGCCUUGGUGUUAACUCCCUGCUUGACAUCCUUAAUAAGACUAAUUAAAUAAUGGAUUGAACUUUCUGGCCAUGGCGUUGCUGAAAUCAUUCUCCAAAGAACCAACAUUUCCCCCCGGUUUUCCUCCUGUCUUUGGUCUCGCUUUGUUUUGACUUCGAAUAUAUAUUUUAUUAUUUUAUAACUUAAAAAAAUUUUUUAUCCUUUCACGUUUGUGCAAUUGUACUUUUCAAUGCUCUUGAUUCUGCUAGUUGCUCACAAAAAUUUCUGUCUAUAUAGAUGUAUUAAAACUUCUGAAAUUAGUGAUAUCA